GCUGAUCUAUAAAGAAAAGGAAAGAGGAUGGUAAAAGAAUUGCAGCUCUGAUGAUUUAGUUUGUGAGCAUUGCAGGAUAUGGGCAUAGAAUUACAAGUUCCUGCCUGCGUUGGAUGCGACUGACCUGUGAGAUGGUACCUAGUUUGUAUUACGCAGUUGGAACAUCUGGAAGGUAUACAAGAUAGAUGUGUAAUCCUUUAUUAUUAGAAACUGGGAGGAUCUGGAGUCACUUACUUAAGAGAAGUGUAGUUUGCAUCUGAAAUGUAGUUCCACACCACCACAGAAUCACUGCGCUUGCCUCAUACUAAACAACAGCAUAAUUUGCGCUGAUGCAACAUGCACAUUCAUUUAAAAUAAAUACAAAUUAUUCUGGCUUCUGAGUUUUAGCAGAGUUUUUGAAGUUUCCUUAAAGUUAUUAUGAUCAGAUGAAGCUAAUUACAGAGUACUUUACAUAUACUCAUCUGGUAAAUGUCAUACAACAGACGGAGUCAAAGGGAAGGUAUGUGGGAUUUUUGGUCUUUUCUUUUUCAUUCUCAUUAAUGUUCCUGCUCAACUCAAAGCAUGCCCUUCUGACAUAGUUUCUUUUCUUAGGAAACCAUCUCCCAUUCUAAAGCCAGUUUCUCCAGUUCAUAAUUAUCUGGAGAACUUCUCAAAAGUGGGUUGAAUAUCAUAUUUUUAUCACUGUGUAUGUGGUCCAAGAAAGCUGUCUGGCACUGUAAAAGCACCAUGUUUAGAACACAAGUAUCAAAGCCUGCACAUCUCUACUUGUUAAAAAAAUUGUAGCUCUCUUUUGCCACUCUUAAUUCCAGAGGAAGGGGGAAGGGUCUGGGGUCUUGAGUCAGGAAGUCACUAAGCUACUGCACCCAUUCUCCAGCUAAUGCUCUCAAACAAACUUAUAUCUCACCUGUACUCUUUGUCCCUUAAGGAAACCCUGUGAACUGAUUAGAGACUACAAGUGGAGGAGAAGUGUCUGUUGCAUGUUGCCUUUGCUCUAUGUUACUUUAAGGGAGUCUGUUCGCCUCCUUUUUUAUAUACCAUUUUACCUUCUGUCUUAAGUCUUUUAACUUUAUCACUGGCUCUGUAAAUUUGAUUUUAGAGCUAAUCAGCAUUUACUGUUUAACCAGAGGUUUUUAGUUUUAGGAAAUGCAGUUUUAUUGCGUGUUUUGCUAUUUCAGAUGGGCAAAGAAAUGGUCUUUUCAAACGGUUUACUCAGAACUGUGCUAGCGUGAUUUCCAGUUGUAUUGUAUACAUUAGCAGUGAUAAGGGCAUAGACUAAUCUAUGGGGUCAUCUCUUCCUACUGUAGUAAAAUAGUUUUAGCAUGUGUAAAGUAGCUUUUGUUGUUUCAUACAAAAAAGUCAGACAGUCAUAUAGGUGUGCAUAUAUAUAUAAAGACAUAUACAGUUAAGCUUCUUGGAAAAUCAUAUGUCUAUUGAAUAUGAGCUUAUUAAAAAAACUCUGAGUUUAUAAUUCUGUCUCAAGUUUUGUACCACAAGAUAUGAACACAGUUUUUUACUUUGCAUAGAUGAGAUAAAUUUUCAUAUCAGCUUAUUUGAAACAAAAAAAUUGACACUGUCCUGUGCAAGGUACACAUUCUCCUGCCUUAUGUUGAGUAGCUUCAGAACAUGGCCAGUUGUUCAGGAAAAACAGUACCCAAGAAGGCAAACUUAAAAAAA